GAUGAACGCUGGCGGCGUGCCUAAUACAUGCAAGUCGAGCGAACAGACGAGGAGCUUGCUCCUCUGACGUUAGCGGCGGACGGGUGAGUAACACGUGGAUAACCUACCUAUAAGACUGGGAUAACUUCGGGAAACCGGAGAUAAUACCGGAUAAUAUAUUGAACCGCAGGGUUCAAUAGUGAAAGACGGUUUUGCUGUCACUUAUAGAUGGAUCCGCGCCGGAUUAGCUAGUUGGUAAGGUAACGGCUUACCAAGGCAACGAUGCGUAGCCGACCUGAGAGGGUGAUCGGCCACACUGGAACUGAGACACGGUCCAGACUCCUACGGGAGGCAGCAGUAGGGAAUCUUCCGCAAUGGGCGAAAGCCUGACGGAGCAACGCCGCGUGAGUGAUGAAGGUCUUCGGAUCGUAAAACUCUGUUAUUAGGGAAGAACAAAUGUGUAAGUAACUAUGCACGUCUUGACGGUACCUAAUCAGAAAGCCACGGCUAACUACGUG
rnacentral:rRNA from 1 species